rnacentral:rRNA from 1 species
ACGGGUGAGUAACACGUGAGUAACCUGCCCUUGACUCUGGGAUAAGCCUGGGAAACCGGGUCUAAUACUGGAUACGACCUUCUGGCGCAUGCCAUGUUGGUGGAAAGCUUUUGCGGUUUUGGAUGGACUCGCGGCCUAUCAGCUUGUUGGUGGGGUAAUGGCCUACCAAGGCGACGACGGGUAGCCGGCCUGAGAGGGUGACCGGCCACACUGGGACUGAGACACGGCCCAGACUCCUACGGGAGGCAGCAGUGGGGAAUAUUGCACAAUGGGCGCAAGCCUGAUGCAGCGACGCCGCGUGAGGGAUGAAGGCCUUCGGGUUGUAAACCUCUUUCAGUAGGGAAGAAGCCGGCCCUUUGGGUUGGUGACGGUACCUGCAGAAGAAGCGCCGGCUAACUACGUGCCAGCAGCCGCGGUAAUACGUAGGGCGCAAGCGUUAUCCGGAAUUAUUGGGCGUAAAGAGCUCGUAGGCGGUUUGUCGCGUCUGCCGUGAAAGUCCGGGGCUUAACUCCGGAUCUGCGGUGGGUACGGGCAGACUAGAGUGCAGUAGGGGAGACUGGAAUUCCUGGUGUAGCGGUGAAAUGCGCAGAUAUCAGGAGGAACACCGAUGGCGAAGGCAGGUCUCUGGGCUGUAACUGACGCUGAGGAGCGAAAGCAUGGGGAGCGAACAGGAUUAGAUACCCUGGUAGUCCAUGCCGUAAACGUUGGGCACUAGGUGUGGGGGACAUUCCACGUUUUCCGCGCCGUAGCUAACGCAUUAAGUGCCCCGCCUGGGGAGUACGGCCGCAAGGCUAAAACUCAAAGGAAUUGACGGGGGCCCGCACAAGCGGCGGAGCAUGCGGAUUAAUUCGAUGCAACGCGAAGAACCUUACCAAGGCUUGACAUGAACCGGAAUGAUGCAGAGAUGUGUCAGCCACUUGUGGCCGGUUUACAGGUGGUGCAUGGUUGUCGUCAGCUCGUGUCGUGAGAUGUUGGGUUAAGUCCCGCAACGAGCGCAACCCUCGUUCCAUGUUGCCAGCGGGUUAUGCCGGGGACUCAUGGGAGACUGCCGGGGUCAACUCGGAGGAAGGUGGGGACGACGUCAAAUCAUCAUGCCCCUUAUGUCUUGGGCUUCACGCAUGCUACAAUGGCCGGUACAAAGGGUUGCGAUACUGUGAGGUGGAGCUAAUCCCAAAAAGCCGGUCUCAGUUCGGAUUGAGGUCUGCAACUCGACCUCAUGAAGUUGGAGUCGCUAGUAAUCGCAGAUCAGCAACGCUGCGGUGAAUACGUUCCCGGGCCUUGUACACACCGCCCGUCAAGUCACGAAAG